AUUGAACGCUGGCGGCAGGCCUAACACAUGCAAGUCGAGCGAGUGGCGGACGGGUGAGUAAUGUCUGGGAAACUGCCUGAUGGAGGGGGAUAACUACUGGAAACGGUAGCUAAUACCGCAUACCAUCAGAUGGGCCCAGAUGGGAUUAGCUUGUUGGUGGGGUAACGGCUCACCCAGGCGACGAUCCCUAGCUGGUCUGAGAGGAUGACCAGCCACACUGGAACUGAGACACGGUCCAGACUCCUACGGGAGGCAGCAGUGGGGAAUAUUGGACAAUGGGCGAAAGCCUGAUCCAGCCAGGCCGCGUGUGUGAAGAAGGUCUUCGGAUUGUAAAGCACUUUAAGUUGGGAGGCGUUACCAACAGAAUAAGCACCGGCUAACUUCGUGCCAGCAGCCGCGGUAAUAC
rnacentral:rRNA from 1 species